CAUCUUCUUCACCUUCACCGUGAGUCUCCAUCUCCUCCAAGUCACCUGCAAACUGUAAGUAAAACAUAUUUCUUCUUCUUCUUCCUCUGUCUGGGUCGAAUUUCUUCUUCUCCUCCAUUCAAACCCUUGAUUCUAGGGUUUACAAUUUCUCAAUUGAUUUGGGGGUUUUGUUUCUGGGUUUGAGUUUUCAUUCAAGUGUAUUCUCAUUCAAUUGUUUUUGAGUUUUUGGUCAUAGGCACAUGUAUUCUCAUUCAAUUGUUUUUGAAUUUUGGCUCAUAUCCACAUGACCGAUUCUGGGUUUUAUAAUUUGGUGAUUCUGGGUUUGCUAAUUUCGAUUCUGGGUUUGCUAUUUUUUGUUUACUUCAGUAUCAGUGGCGCUUGCAUUACGAUCCACCCACAAAUCCUGCAGCUCCUGCUCGUAUUCCUGGUGCUUAGCUUCGGU
rnacentral:lncRNA from 1 species